rnacentral:lncRNA from 1 species
GUCACUCGCUUGCUCGCUCGCCCGCUCGCUAGCUCGUUCGCUCGCUGUGGGAGGAGCCCGCCAGAGGAAGCCGUGUGCCUGGGAUGCCAAGAACCAGAGAAUGGAUCUGCUCCGAGUGGGCACAUUGCUAAGGAUCCCGGCUUCCCGAGGCGACUGAAAACAAGCAUUUGGUUUCGGCUGCCUGCAGAUACCCGGAGACACAACGAGACCUAAGCGGACCAGAGGAGGGACAGACCGACUGACAGAUAGAUGGUCGGCGCGAACCCUGGAGGACCGGCGGCGGAGGCUGAGCACCGCGAGCCCAGCCGCCGCGCUUGAAGAGAAACUAACUGCACACCCAAGUUGCCCGCCGGCUGCCCGCGCGCUGAGGAAUGAGACCUUUCCAGCUGGAUUUGCUCUUCCUCUGCUUCUUCCUCUUCAGUCAAGGUAGGAACCCGGCGCGCCGGAGUUGGAGCAAAGUCGGCGGCGGCGGCGGCGGCGGCAGCGGAGGGCGCGGGUGGCUGAGGGCUGAGGGCUGAGAGCUGGGAGGUGGACAGGCUCGGGAACUCGUACUAGCUGAGGGUCUUGGUGCCGGCCCAUUGGCAGUUAAGUAGCAUUGCUUCUUUGCAUUUGCAAAUGCUACAAAAUGGAACUGUGGGUUUCCCUUCGGAAGGAAGGGGCUGGGAGAACAGGGGAGGCUGCACUUUCUCGUCUUUCUUGUCCACGUCCAACUCCAACUCUCCGAUGCAUGUAAGUUCUUUAUGCACCCGGUAUAUUAAUUAGGUAACAUCCGUGUGGCUAGGCCAUUCGGAACUUCUGGGUGCCUGCUCGCCUUUCUAGCCAGGUUGGAAAAGGGGAGCCUGGCGUAGGUGGAGAUUUCAGUUUCAGUAAGGUCUAACUUGCCCGGGUGUGUUUAAAGCAAAUGUGCGAGGUCUGCACAGUUGCAGAAAGGGAUGCGAUUAGGGAAGGUUCUGAGGCGGGUAUUUACAGUGGCUGGGGAAAAGAACGCUUGUAAAGAGUUACAUUGAAUGUCACCCAUUUCCCUGAGCAAGGCUGAAUUCUGAAUCCUACCAAGCACUGGAUUAGGUGUAUGAAAUGGAAUUUCGCCCCUGGUGCCGAUUGCUUCCUUUCUGCAAUCCUAGCAGGUGGACUCUCCAGAAAGAACUUUGCUACCUCUGGGAUCCUUGCCACUGAGAGUCAUGGGGUGGGUCAUGGUGGAGGGAGGACUAAGCACGCGCCUACUUAGCUAAAGGCAUCAACAGUCACCUGUGGAAUUAAGACUGAAAGAGCCAAGUCAACCCAUUCCGUCCCACUCUUUUGGAAUGGCAGUGCCACCUCUGCCAUCUGAGGCAGCAUGUGUGCCUGCCAGCACAGCUCUUGGAGGGACAGGACUUUC